CUGUAGUUAAACGCUGUACAAAAACCUCAUCUCUCAGAAAGUGUGUUAUUUAUGUUAAACUAAAAAUGAAGAAUCUGCACAAACAUCACUGCAGUGUGUUCCUGUGUGUUGCACAUCACACAGGCAAAUUACACUGUGAAUAUCUUCAUUAUCACAUAAAUGAACAAGAUCUGGAAUACAAUUGUAAUGGAUACCUGCACUGAUACUCAACAAGACACAGUGCGAUAAUUAUGACUGUGUUAGUUAUUAUAUCCAUACCAAUUUAAUCAUAGAUAUAAAAUAUGAUGCGUCAUAUUGGAUUUUACACUGUUGAGGAGUUUGACAGAGUUUGGAGUUCUACAGGUGGUUCAAAAUGCACAUUUGAAGCAAUCCUGAGAAAGGACAGGUUUUUGUGCAGUCAGUUCCAUGAAAUAUAGCACUGUGAUAGGUUUGACUACUGGAGUAAAGGCACCCAAGUCACCAUUGCCACACCAACUGCACCAACCUUCCUCUUGCCUUUAAUGGCAUGCGGGCCUAAAGGAUCCGAUCACCUGACCCUGGCCUGCAUCGCCCGUGAUUUUUCGCCUGCUUCUUCUGUGACCUUCCAGUGGAAGAACAGUGGAAUGGCCGUGACUGAGUUCACUCAGUACCCAGCAGUGCAGAGCAGUAGGCCAGAUUCCUACACAAGCGUCAGUCAUGUCAGUGUAAAAGCGGCAGAGCGGGAGUCCUACAGUUGCUCCGUGAAUCAUUUGUCACUGAAUAAGAACAUGGAAGUGAGUUUCCAGAAAGCAGAACAGUCCUCAGAAAAACCCUGUCUGGAGGUGACCCUGAAGCCCCCAAAGAUGAGCGAAUUGUUUGUAAAUAACCGGGCUGUGCUGGACUGCGUCAUCACUGGGGGAGAGAAGGCAGCAGUGGAGGGAGCCAGCGUUACCUGGACACCGAGUGGAACAGGCACCUCGAUCAAUGAGGGUCAGAUCACAAAGGACGGACAUGUGUUCAGGAAGACCAGCACUCUGACUCUGGGACAGGCACGCUGGUUCACCGAGCAAAAUGUUCAGUGCUCUGUCCAACAGCAGAACAGCAAAAAGCCGGCCAUCAAAAAAUCUUUCAGCCGGAACAACAGUGGGUUAAAAGCUCCCAAAGUGGUUAUAAACACACCCUCAGAAGAGGAUGGCAGCAAGUUUGUUUCCCUGGUCUGUGUAGUGACGGGCUUCUCUCCCCGGGACGUGUUCGUCAUGUGGACAGUGGAUGAUGGAUCCUAUGAAGAGGGCAUCACCAGUGAGCCUGUGGAGAGCAAAACUGGCACCUUCUCUGUCACAAGUCUUUUAGAAGUCCCGACAGCGAAGUGGAAGUCCCGGUCCAAAGUCACCUGCAAUGUGAAGCAUGUUUCUGUGUCCAAUGGAGCAGUCGCUACCACAAAAUCUGUGUCCAGAGCAACUGACCCACCCUGUCUGGAGGUGACCCUGAAUCCCCCAAAGGCGAGAGAAUUGUUUGUUAAUAACCAGGCUGUGCUGGACUGCGUUAUCACUGGGGAAGAGAGGGCAGCAGUGGAGGGAGCCAGCGUUACCUGGACACCGAGUGGAACUGGCACCUCGAGCAAAGAGAGUCAGAUCACUCCGCACGGACAUGUGUUCAGGAAGACCAGCACUCUGACUCUGGGACAGGAACGCUGGUUCACCGAGCAAAAUGUUCAGUGCUCUGUCCAACAGCAGAACAGCGAUAAGCCGGCCAUCACAAAAUCUUUCAGCCGGAACACCAGCGGGUUAAAAGCUCCCAAGGUGGUUAUAAACACACCCUCAGAAGAGGACGGCAGUGAGUUUGUCUCUCUGGUCUGUGUAGUGACGGGCUUCUCUCCCCGGGAUGUGUUCGUCAUGUGGAGAGUGGAUGAUGGAUCCUAUGAAGAGGGCAUCACCAGUGAGCCUGUGGAGAGCAAAAACGACGGCUUCUCUGUCACAAGUUUUUUCAAUGUCUCGACAGCGGAGUGGAAGUCCCAGUCCAAAGUCGCCUGCAAUGUGAAGCACGUUUCUGUGGACAAUGGAGCAGCCCCUAUCAUAAAAUCUGUGUCCAGAGCAACUGAAACAGUAUCAGCUCUGAAUUGUAAUGAGGAAGAUGAGGAAGAAGAUGAGCUUGGCAGUCUGUGGUCCACCACCUCCUCCUUCAUCACCCUCUUCCUAUGCACUCUCAUCUACAGCACCCUCCUCAGUUUGAUCAAGAUGAAGCAGUGAUGUACUGUACAGUGCAACACAUGGAAGAUGGGGUGAAAGCUUAUUUUUUGAAUGUAUUGAUAGUUCCAUGUCAAGAGUGUGUGGUAUAGAAGAUUGUGUCAUGUUUUCUUGAGUUGAAUCUCUCUGUUUUUUCCAUUACUCCACUGUGCCUAUGUUUAGAUUUCUUUCAUUACGUAAUGAGUGAAAUGUCUGUAUAAAUCUUGUUUAUACCAGUGUUUUCUAUGGACAUCAGACCACAUUGCAGUACAUAAUUGGCUGCAGUUUAGUCCUAGGAGGAAAGGUUUUAGUUGGCAGUCCUGUACUCAACCCACUAAGCAAAAAAGAAGCACAGCUCUGGUGGAUCCCGCCUGCAAAUUUCUCCGCUACACCCAUGACUGGAACUCCAGCGCUGCUACUGUUGGAGCCGGCCUGUGUCAGCUGCACAUGAAGUGCACUCUUCUGUCCCACUGAGAGCUGAGCUGCUCUGGGGCCACAGAGUGAAAGAGGAGAGCUGCUCUGGGGCCACAGAGUGAAAGAGCUCAGCAGAGCCGC